rnacentral:rRNA from 1 species
GACAGGUGCUGCAUGGCUGUCGUCAGCUCGUGCCGUGAGGUGUUGGGUAAGUCCCGCAACGAGCGCAACCCCUAUUGCCAGUUGCUACCAGGUAAUGCUGGGCACUCUGGUGAGACUGCCCGGUUAACGGGGAGGAAGGUGGGGACGACGUCAAGUCAUCAUGGCCCUUACGCCUAGGGCUACACACGUACUACAAUGGCGCAUACAAAGGGCAGCGAUACCGCGAGGUGGAGCCAAUCCCAAAAAGUGCGUCCCAGUCCGGAUUGCAGUCUGCAACUCGACUGCAUGAAGUUGGAAUCGCUAGUAAUUCGAGAUCAGCAUGCUCGGGUGAAUGCGUUCCCGGGCCUU